rnacentral:lncRNA from 1 species
UUUGAAAUAAAAAUAAAAAAUGAGUAAAUGUGAUGCAUUUUUUUCACUAAACUCAAACCAACGUAAAUUAACAAGAAAUUUAUGAAACCCUAUAACCAAAAAAUAAUACAUAAUCAAAAUGAAUACUUCAAGAACAAUUUUUGAAAAACAGAAAAUAACAUACGACAAACAAAAUUGUAAACAAAUGAUAAAAGAAAUAUUCUCAUGAUAUAAACAAGAGAUCAAAGGUUAUUAUAUCUAAAUAAAUGUGAUAAAUAAAAAUAUUAUGUCGUGAAUUCCAAAGCACAAAUUCAAUAUUCGUAUGAAAAUGUUUUAAAAAAGUUGAGAAAAUAAUAAACGUUGAAAUUAAACAGUAUGAUUUAAAAUAAGAAAAAUGUAUCAAAAGAUCUACACC